GACAGAGGGGGCAAGCGUUGCUCGGAAUCACUGGGCGUAAAGGGCGCGUAGGCGGGAUGGCAAGUCGGUCGUGAAAUCCUUCGGCUCAACCGAAGAACGUCGGCCGAUACUGCCGUUCUUGAGGGAUGCAGAGGAGAUUGGAAUUCCCGGUGUAGCGGUGAAAUGCGUAGAUAUUGGGAGGAACACCGGUGGCGAAGGCGGCUACCUGGACCGGUACUGACGCUGAGGCGCGAAAGCUAGGGUAGCAAACAGG
rnacentral:rRNA from 1 species